GCCGGGCGUGGUGGCGGGUGCCUGUAAUCCUAGUUACUCGGGAGGCUGAAGCGGGAGAAUCAUUUGAACCCAGGAGGCAUAGGUUUCAGUGAGCCAAGAUCACACCACUGCACUCCAGCCUGGGUAACAGAGUGAGAUUCCGUCUCAG
rnacentral:SRP_RNA from 2 species